rnacentral:tRNA from 1 species
GGGCCAGAGCUCAAAAGGGACGAGCACACCCGUGAUAAGGCUGAGGUGGAUGGUUCAAGUCCAUUUAGGCCCAU